CUUAACUUAAAAAAAAAGUUUCUUCUUAAGCCCGAGAGGGAAGAGAGAAGGCAGAGGAAGAAAGUCAAACGGCAGGCCUGCUUGUCCAGACUGGGUGGGAGAGUCGUGAGAUCCUGGACCAGACCGCUCAGCUUAUCCGUCUGAAACAGAAUUACCUCCUACCAUGGAGGCUGGAAUGCAGAAGAUGCCACAUGGUAUGUCAGAGGAAGAGCUGAGUCUGGAAGCCAGACCCACUGACUCCACCGUAUUAUGGUUGAUUUCCCACCAGAUCAGGUGGCUACCAGCUCUGCGCGGAUUCUUUACUGCUGAGCCACCGGGGAAGACCUCAGACAGAGAUGCGGCCUUCCUCAAAAGUAUCCUCAGCAACAAUGGAAUCCAUGGAAGCUUUAGCUGCAAGAGAGGCUGUAAAUACAAGUUCCUGGCCUUUUCAGUUUCUGCGGUUCUAUGGGGGAACCAAGGACUGCUGACAGAUGAUGGCUGA
rnacentral:lncRNA from 1 species